AUUGAACGCUGGCGGCAGGCUUAACACAUGCAAGUCGAACGAGUGGCGGACGGGUGAGUAAUGUCUGGGAAACUGCCUGAUGGAGGGGGCUAACUACUGGAAACGGUAGCUAAUACCGCAUACCAUCAGAUGUGCCCAGAUGGGAUUAGCUAGUGGGGGGGGUAAGGGCUCACCAAGGCGACGAUCCCUAGCUGGUCUGAGAGGAUGACCAGCCACACUGGAACUGAGACACGGUCCAGACUCCUACGGGAGGCAGCAGUGGGGAAUAUUGCACAAUGGGCGCAAGCCUGAUGCAGCCAUGCCGCGUGUGUGAAGAAGGCCUUCGGGUUGUAAAGUACUUUCAGCGAGGAGGCGUUACCCGCAGAAGAAGCACCGGCUAACUCCGUGCCAGCAGCCGCGGUAAUAC
rnacentral:rRNA from 1 species